CUGGCCUCCUAUUGGCUGCCGCAAAAGUUCCUCAGGGUAUGGAGCGAAGUCGCACUUAGUUACUUUUAUGAUGCUGCUGGUCGCGGCCGUGUUAAUUAUGGGGCGCCCUCGAAAUCACGCUCAGGAGAUUAAAACAUCGUUACAGGCCUUGGGCGUUUCUGACAUACUAAUGUUUUGAUUCUCUAAUCUUCUAAAAUGACUCCUGGAGCAACUUACCUGAAAUCAGUAAUACAAGAUGUUCCCCACCUGCAGGCUUAUAGUCUAUAAAGGUGCAACAUGCAAGCGAAAAGGAAUGGGGAGGAAGAGUCUGCAGGGCUGAUGAAAUGAUCCUCUUCUUGCUCUCUCAGCACAACCUUGUACAUUAAAUAAAUUUUGAUAAAAUGACUUGGUCUUCAAAAUGGCCAUGGAUUUUUCCAGACAGGGUACUCCUAGCAUUAUUAAUCAGACACAUUGUGCAGCUGUGCAGGAGAAGACAAUGACAUUGGACUCCAGUAAAAUUCCAAGAAUGAGGCAGGCUAAUUUUCAUGAUAAAACCUUGUCUAGACGCUCCAUAUAGUAGUACUACUCAGGGUGCAAUUCUUUGAAGUUGUCCUCCAAACUCAGAGGAGUAUAGGCAUCCUCUGCAGGACAGGUGAAGGAGAAGGUUGACUCCUGCAAAGCAUCUAGAUCACAGAUUUUGGAUGUCUAACUGCAGCACUUCAGAGGGAGAAAGAAGGAGGUUGACAUGCCGCCAAGAUACCUCAGAUCUUGACCACACCAUUCUCCGCCCUCCCCACCCCAUAAAUUCCUCCAAGCUUGCUUUUGUUCACAGUUCAGACUCAGCAAAAUUGAACUAACAUUCCUGAUGAUAGUCUCUGUUCUGCUGUCCGAAGUAUUUCAUAAUCAUAGGAGCAUAUGAAAAGAAGGUUUGUAUUUUAGCUUUUACUUCAUAAGUACAUCCCUAUGUAGCUGUGUUUUGGAAAGCAGUAUGUUUCUGUAAAUAAAAUGCAAGUUAUAAUUAUCA